UACGUAGGUGGCAAGCGUUGUCCGGAAUCAUUGGGCGUAAAGCGCGUGUAGGCGGUUCGGUAAGUCCGCUGUGAAAGUCGGGGGCUCAACCCUCGAAAGCCGGUGGAUACUGUCGGACUAGAGUGCGGAAGAGGCGAGUGGAAUUCCUGGUGGUAGCGGUGAAAUGCGCAGAUAUCAGGAGGAACACCGGUGGCGAAGGCGGGUCUCUGGGCCGAUACUGACGCUGAGGAGCGAAAGCGUGGGGAGCAAACAGG
rnacentral:rRNA from 1 species